AAUACAUAACUUAUAUAAUACGACAUAACUUAUUAAUAUAUAUAUUUUAAAAUGAUACAUAACUUACAUAACUUAUUAAUACAUAACAUUUUUAAUACAUAACUUACAUAAUACGACAUAAUAACAUAAAUAUAUAUCAUAUGAUAACUUACAUAGUGAAAUAAUACCAAUGAAGUUAACAACUUACCCUUGUAAUUUCUACUGAAAAUCAGACUUGCAAGAAUUAAGAAAUGGAUUGGUCUUGGAUGAAUUUGUCAAAGGUAAGCAACGAAUAUAGAAAUGGAGUACAAACUUUUUUGAAUUUUGCAUUUCAAUAUGCAAGCCAAGAGAACAUGAUUCUUUGCCCCUGUAACAAGUGUGUCAACAUAAACUGGCAUUAUCGUGAAGUUGUAUACGAGCAUCUAGUUGUUGAUGGGUUUGUUCGGGGUUAUAAGAAAUGGUUUUUCCAUGGAGAAUGCCCGCCUAGUACUUCUUCUUCAACGAUGGACGUAUCUUAUCCUGGUCCUGCUUACCAUCAGUCCGUUGGAGGGGAUGACAUGGAAUGUAUGUUGCGGGAUGCAUUUAAUAUGCACAAUCAUGGUUUUCAGUCGUUCCCAGCCAACUUUGUGGCAUCUGAUGAUUGUAAUGUUGGUGCAAAUGCUUUUACCGAACGGGGAACAAGUGUACCUCAUGAAGAGCCGAAUGGAGAAGCGACAAAGUUCUAUGAGCUACUUAAUGAGAUGAACGAAGAACUAUAUGAGGGAUCAAAAUUCUCCAAAAUGGCUUUCUGCGUUCGUCUUUUCCAGUUAAAAUGUUUGGGAGGGUGGACCGGGAACUCUUUAACAAUGCUGCUAGAUUUUUUGAGAGAAAUAUUUCCGUUUGCAAAAAUCCCUCAGUCAUGCAAAGAUAUGAAGAAAAUGAUAAAAGACUUAGGUCUUGGGUACAACAAAAUCCAUAGUUGCCCGAAUGACUGCAUAUUGUAUUGGGGCGAUCGGAGAAAUCAACAGUGUUGUCAUGUAUGCGGCGAAUCCCGUUGGAUAAAUAGAAACACAGAAGAUGGGAACGACGAUGAAAAUGAUGCACAACCAAGAAAGAAGCCGGUCAAGAUUUUACGGUAUUUUUCGCUGAUACCAAGGCUUCAAAGGCUUUUCAUGUCAUCGAAGACAGCGGAGUCAAUGACGUGGCACCAUGAUGGACGAACCGAUGAUGGAUUAUUAAGGCAUCCGGUAGAUUCUUUAGCUUGGAAAUCAUUUGACACGAUCCUAGGAGUGUGAGGCUUGGCCUAGCAUCUGAUGGAUUUAAUCCUUAUAAGAUCAUGAGCACUGCGUACAGUACUUGGCCAGUAGUGCUUGUUUCUUACAAUCUGCCUCCGUGGAUUUGCAUGAAGCAAUCUUCCCUUAUCUUAUCUAUGAUUAUCCCUGGAGAGAAAGGGCCCGGAAAUGAUAUCGACGUUUAUUUAUAGCCACUUACUGAAGAGUUAAAAUAAUUAUGGGCUGGUGUCGAGACAUACGAUGUGCUGAGAAAGGAGAACUUUAAUUUACGUGCAGCUUUGAUGUGGACCAUUAAUGACUUCCUCGCUUAUGCCAAUUUAUCCGGUUGGAGUACAAAGGGUCGUUAUGCGUGUCCUUGUUGUGCUACACAAACAUGUUCGCAAUGGUUAUACAAUGGGAAAAAGUUCUCUUACAUGGGGCAUCGUCGGUGGUUACCGAAAAAUCAUAGAUUUAGAUUUCAGAGUUCAGUAUUUGACGGCACUGAAGAGUUCAGAGAAGCUCCUUCGCAGACAAGUGGAUCUGAUAUCUUGUUCAUGUUGAAAGAUAUAAAUUUCAGUUAUAGAAAGAUGAACCACCCGACAAACACGUAAAUAAAUAGAAGAUCAAAUGAUGAAGCUGAUGAUGACUCCGAUGAAGAGGAUGAUCCCAAUGAGGCGGACUUGUGGAAAAAAAGAAUUUGAGUUGCCUUAUUGGGAGCAUUAGCUUUUACGACACAAUCUUGAUGUUAUGCACAUUGAGAAAAAUGAUUGCGAGAACAUUGUGGGUACAAUUUUGAAUGUAGAUGGAAAAUCAAAAGACAAUCUUCAGAGUCGACUUGAUUUAGUCCAAUGGGAAUUCGACCUGAUCUUCAUCUGAAUCCACUUCUUAAUGGGAAAAAUCGGUUGUCGCCUUCUAUUUUUUCGAUGUCGAGGACAGAGAAAGAAGUGUUCUGUAUGGUGUUGAAGGAUAUAAAGGUUCCAGAUGCAUAUGCAUCAAAUAUAUCUCGAUGUGUUAGUGUUAAAGAUCAAAGACUGUAUUCGCUAAAAUCACAUGACUAUCACAUCUUGAUGCAAGAUUUAUUGCCAGUUGCUCUACGAUGUUGUAUGUCGAAGAAGGUGACGUCUUGUAUAAUUUAACUAUCCAAUAUAAUGAAAGCCAUUUGUGGCAAAGUUUUGGAUGUUCAAGAACUUCAGAAGGUACAGGAUAGAGCCGCAUUGACUUUAUGCAACAUGGAGAAAAUCUUUCCACCUUCCUUCUUCACUAUUAUGGUUCACUUGAUAAUCCAUCUCCUGGGAGAAGCAAUUCUUGGCAGACCCGUUUUCUACCGAUGGAUGUAUCCCAUAGAAAUGUGUUAAUUUAUUUUAAAAACUCUCCUUCCGUAAACCCUAUCCAAAUUAAUGUUGCAUAUCCAAAUUUAUUUUAACAACUUUUCAUAAUGUUGCAUAUCGUGUUUAGGUUCCUAUCCAAAUUAAAGUCUUACUGCCGCAACAAGCGUUAUCCAGAAGGAUCGAUUGCUGAAGCCUACUUAGCAGAGGAAUGUAUCACCUUCUGUUCAUGAUAUUUGGAUGAUGUCGAAACAAGGUUGAGCAGACCAAAUAGAAAUGCUAGACUCACGGAUCAUAACUUGACCGAUACUUAUUUGUUCCAAAGUUUUGGAGAACCAAUCGGCAAAGUGGAAAUUGCAGAAUUAGAUGGUUUUUCGUGGGUACAAGCACAUCAGUAUGUUCUGUUUCACCACGAAUCAAUGGAACCUUUACGCAAUGAGUACAAACAAAUACUGAGAUCUCGUUCGCGCUCCCGAAGAACACAACUUCGAGACAUCAAUAAGUUGUUCACAGAAUCUUUCCAUGAAUGGUUACCCGAAACGGUUUGGAGUGGGAAGAACGUGAUCGACGAAGUUAAAUGGCUUUCUCAAGGUCCAAAUCGAGUGGUUAAAAGAUAUAGUGCGUUCCUCAUAAACGGAUUCAGAUUUCAUACAAAAUAUCGCGAGAGAUUGAGGAGAACGCAAAAUUGUGGAAUAGUUAUUAAUUCCUCAAUUACUAGUUAUGCUAGUGCUAGGGACAACAACCCUGUCGAGGGAAAUGUAGAAUAUUUCGGACUUCUUACUGAUAUAAUUGAGUUGGAUUACUACGGAAAAUGGAAAGUUGUCUUAUUUCGAGGUGAUUGGGCCGAUGUUAAUACUGGUCGUGGAAUUAAGCAAGAUCAAUUUGGUUUCACAAUGGUGAACUUCACUCGAUUGAUUCAUACAGGACAACAAUUGAUUGAUGAGCCGUACGUAUUUUCUUCUCAAGUCAAACAAGUUUUUUACUCAAAAGAUCCAAUUGAUGAGGGUUGGUACGUUGUACUCCGUAACAUCCCUAGGGACUUGUUUGACAUGGGCAGUGGAAGUAGAGAUGGCAUUGACGACAGAACACAAGCUUUGUCAUUUCCAGAACAAAACUUAAACGAAAACAUCCCUAGUACUAGUACACACAGUCAAUGGGUCCGCCAGGAUACGAAUGAAGAUAUUUAUGGAUUAUAAUAUAAUAAAAUACCUAGAAGACCCGUGCGAGCGCACCGCAUUGUUCAAGGUACUCCAAACUCGACCGAAACAAACAACACUGAACAACAAACUGCUAUUGGAUCUUCGAAUAUUCCGGUUACACUUGAGGAACCUAUAGAAGAUCAAAGUAAUUUAACAUUUAA